CAAGUUCAGAUAAAAUUCUCUAACAAGAUCCACAUAAGUAUUUUCUUUUAGGGAGCAAUAGAAUUUCCAACCUUGGUCCUUAAUUUUUGAUCCGAUAGAGAACCCUUCCUUUUCAAAAAAUCUGAAAUCAAUAUUUUUGCCGGGCUCUACCUUUCUAUCGAAGAGGGAUACCUUACUGAGGCUAAUUGGAGAUCGGGUUGUAGCUGGAGCUGAAGUAUGAGUAGGGUUUGAAGCAGA
rnacentral:lncRNA from 1 species